CGGGACGGGUGGGUAAUGUCUGGGAAACUGCCUGAUGGAGGGGGAUAACUACUGGAAACGGUAGCUAAUACCGCAUAACGUCGCAAGACCAAAGAGGGGGACCUUCGGGCCUCUUGCCAUCGGAUGUGCCCAGAUGGGAUUAGCUAGUAGGUGGGGUAACGGCUCACCUAGGCGACGAUCCCUAGCUGGUCUGAGAGGAUGGCCAGCCACACUGGAACUGAGACACGGUCCAG
rnacentral:rRNA from 1 species